rnacentral:tRNA from 1 species
UCCCGGAUAGCUCAGUUGGUACUGAGUCUGCCUGCAAUGCAGGAGACCCUGGUUCGAUUCCUAGAUCGGGAA